rnacentral:rRNA from 1 species
UCCGAGUGGGGAAUAACCUAUAGAAAUCUGGGCUAAUACCGCAUAACACUCAUGAGUCAAAGCAGCAUUGCGCUUGGAGAGGAGUUCGCGGCAGAUUAGUUAUUUGGCGGGGUAAUGGCCCACCAAGACGAUGAUCUGUAUCCGGCCUGAGAGGGCGCACGGACACACUGGAACUGAAACACGGUCCAGACUCCUACGGAGGCAGAGUG